rnacentral:lncRNA from 1 species
CCUACGCCCUCCCUGAGCCCCCCCACACCUCUCCCUGGCCCCUGCCCCCUCCCCAGGGCUCCCCACACCUUGCCCAGGGCCAGCACCCUCCCAGGGUGCUUUUUUCCAGUCUUUUGGAGUAAUUCAGCCAUGUGGUAGUGUUUGCUAGACUAAAGCGAUGAAUUUUUUCUUUUUUUCUUCAUGUGAUUUUUCUUCUCAGAAAGAAGUAUUGCUUCACAGGGCCCACCGCUUGCUAGGAGUAAGUAUCAACUACUGCAUGCCCCCAGUUUGCUAAACCUUCGUUGCCUAGGUUUCUCGGAGGAAUUUAUUCCAAGGAAUGAAUAAUAGCGGUGCCAAUAGCCCUGGAUGACAGAAGAGCCCCAGGCUCUGCAAGAGUGAGUUAUUUCAGCUGAUACCUGCUGUCUCGGGGAUCCAGGCACUGGGAUCACUAGCUGUCUAAAGUGGCCCAAAGGACAUUAUAGUUCAGUUGCCCUCUGUGAAGCACAGUUGUAGUAGGAGUACUCGGUCAUUUGCCUCUCAUUUAUUUUAUUUAGAAAGUGAGAAAAACAGUGAGAAAGAGGGAACCUUGGAAGCGCACAACAUACAGAAAACUGAAGAAAAAUAUCUUCGGCAGACCUGCUUCCUGGCUUUGCCUCUGGUCUGUGUCUUCACUAUGGACGUGCCUGGCAUUUACUGGGCUGUAUCUGAUGCCGGUUGCUGCUGUUGUGCUUUGUUGGGACUUGUGGAUUACCUUCCUGGCUUAGCUUUGGGCCUGCCUUGUUGCAACAACCUCGCCUGAUGAUCUGAGCUCUUGGUUGAAGCUGGUUGCUGCUCCUAGGUCUGUAUUGCUCACCUUGUUGUGGUACGGGGGGGUU